rnacentral:rRNA from 1 species
AAAUUGAAGAGUUUGAUCAUGGCUCAGAUUGAACGCUGGCGGCAGGCCUAACACAUGCAAGUCGAACGGUAACAGGAAGAAGCUUGCUUCUUUGCUGACGAGUGGCGGACGGGUGAGUAAUGUCUGGGAAG